rnacentral:rRNA from 1 species
AGUCGAGCGAUCGAUGGGAGCUUGCUCCCUGAGAUUAGCGGCGGACGGGUGAGUAACACGUGGGCAACCUGCCUAUAAGACUGGGAUAACUUCGGGAAACCGGAGCUAAUACCGGAUACGUUCUUUUCUCGCAUGAGAGAAGAUGGAAAGACGGUUUACGCUGUCACUUAUAGAUGGGCCCGCGGCGCAUUAGCUAGUUGGUGAGGUAAUGGCUCACCAAGGCGACGAUGCGUAGCCGACCUGAGAGGGUGAUCGGCCACACUGGGACUGAGACACGGCCCAGACUCCUACGGGAGGCAGCAGUAGGGAAUCUUCCGCAAUGGACGAAAGUCUGACGGAGCAACGCCGCGUGAACGAAGAAGGCCUUCGGGUCGUAAAGUUCUGUUGUUAGGGAAGAACAAGUACCAGAGUAACUGCUGGUACCUUGACGGUACCUAACCAGAAAGCCACGGCUAACUACGUGCCAGCAGCCGCGGUAAUACGUAGGUGGCAAGCGUUGUCCGGAAUUAUUGGGCGUAAAGCGCGCGCAGGUGGUUCCUUAAGUCUGAUGUGAAAGCCCACGGCUCAACCGUGGAGGGUCAUUGGAAACUGGGGAACUUGAGUGCAGAAGAGGAAAGUG